AUCCCAUGAUGAGGACAAGCAUGAAUGUACUCAUUGAGACGUUCCCAUGCUUCAGGAAUUGUCUUGUCGGACUGUUGCUUGAAGCUCAAAAUCUUCCCACGCAGGGC
rnacentral:snoRNA from 1 species